UACUUGUCAAUACAGAAAAAAAGCGAAUUUCAGUGCAAAGUAAAAAUAAGAAAAAGAAAAGACUGUAAUUUUUCUGCAACGAGAACACACUAGAUAUUUUUUUCUUCACAAAAAUCGCUAAUUUUAACUAAUAAAUUAAUAAAAAUUUUCAAAAACUAAAAAUAAACGUGAACAAAAAUGAGUGUGGAAGAGGAAGUUUUUAAAAUACAAAAGAAAAUGAGCAAAAUCACAACAAAUGAUGGCACGGGACAAGAACAAGCCUUGGACUUACUAAAGGC